GACGAACGCUGGCGGCGUGCCUAAUACAUGCAAGUAGAGCGCACAGUGUAUACCUUAGCUUGCUACACGAUACACUGGGAGUUGCGAGCGGGUGAGUAACGCGUAGGUAACCUGCCUGGUAGCGGGGGAUAACUAUUGGUAACGAUAGCUAAUACCGCAUAAUAUUGAUUAUUGCAUGAUAAUUGAUUGAAAGAUGCUAUUGCAUCACUACCAGAUGGACCUGCGUUGUAUUAGCUAGUAGGUGAGGUAACGGCUCACCUAGGGGACGAUACAUAGGCGACCUGAGAGGGUGGUCGGCCACACUGGGACUGAGACACGGCCCCGACUCCUACGGGAGGCAGCAGUAGGGGAUCUUCGGCAAUGGACGAAAGUCUGACCGAGCAACGCCGCGUGAGUGAAGAAGGUUUUCGGAUCGUAAAGCUCUGUUGUAAGAGAAGAACGGGUGUGAGAGUGGAAAGUUCACACUGUGACGGUAUCUUACCAGAAAGGGACGGCUAACUACGUG
rnacentral:rRNA from 1 species